rnacentral:rRNA from 1 species
UACGAAGGGGGCUAGCGUUGUUCGGAAUUACUGGGCGUAAAGCGCACGUAGGCGGAUUUGUAAGUCAGGGGUGAAAUCCCGGAGCUCAACUCCGGAACUGCCUUUGAUACUGGCAAUCUUGAGACUGGAAGAGGUUAGUGGAAUUCCCAGUGUAGAGGUGAAAUUCGUAGAUAUUGGGAAGAACACCAGUGGCGAAGGCGGCUAACUGGUCCAGUACUGACGCUGAGGUGCGAAAGCGUGGGGAGCAAACAGG